CUCGGUGCUUCAGGCGGUGAGGUCACACCCGUUCCCAUCUCGAACACGGAAGUUAAGCUCACUGGCAUCGAUGGUACUUGGACCCAACCCGGUCCUGGGAGAGUAGACAAGUGCCGGGA
rnacentral:rRNA from 1 species